GGCGCGCGUAUCACUCCCUCAGGCCCGGUCUUUCUCACUCACACUUCGAAUCCCACGCUUCAGAGCUCAUUACCCAACUGUACGGAGUUGCAGCUUGUCUGAACUGUACCGAGAAACCAAACGCAAGAAUACCCUCCUUUUCCAGGGAGGAGCGACUACAAGUCUUCGGAUACGACGCCGUUUAAUUAAUGCAACACCGCGACUACCAAUUCUCCAGCCACCGUCCCAGGCGGCGCCCCCGUCCCCCGCAGCCGAUCGUGCUGCAACCCGGCCAGGUGGCAUUCCGAGUCAUCUGCCAUGUUUCCAUCAUCGGCGGCCUAAUCGGUCCUUCCGGCUCCAUCAUCUCUCAAAUUCGACGCGACACCGACUGUACCAUCCGCUGCGAAGAGCUAGUGCAAGGCUCGGACCACCGGGUUAUCGUGGUAAUCGGGCCGGCAUCCCCCGGGAGGAGAAUCGCGUUAAAGUCAAUGGAGGGUGAUGAUGAGGAUGAAAAGGAGCUCGUGUCGGUAGCGCAGGAGGCGGUGAUUAGGGUUUGUGAGAGGAUGUGGGAGGUUGGCGCUCAUAGCGGACGGGUUGAUGAUAGUGAGAGGGGCGUGAGUGAGGGCUAUUGUGGACUUCUGGCCGAUACGACGCAGAUUGGUGCCGUAGUAGGGAGAGGAGGGAAGAAUGUCGUGAGAAUGAGGAGAGAGAGCGGGGCCCAGAUUAGGAUCCUGCCGGCCCCACAAUGCGCUGCGAAGGACGAUGAAUUGAUUCAGAUUACAGGUGAUAUUUUGGCUGUAAAGAAAGCACUGGUCGCUGUAACUGAAUGUCUUCACGAUUGUCCGCCGUAUAACAAAGAACCAAUGCUUUUGAACAGACCUGUUGAGAGAGCUUCCCACAUUUCCUCUUCUGAUCUGCAUGCAGAGUUCUUCCCACAUCUUAGUUCAUUGUUACCACCUUUGAUUGAAAAUUCUGCAAAUUCCCAUUCAUUAUCCUCAGAUGCUGAUGAAGACCCCAACCAGGAUGUGAAAUCUACAAGACAAGAAGUUUCAUUUAGGCUGCUUUGCUCCAAUGGUGCAGCUGGGAGCAUAAUUGGCAAGAAAGGAACCAUAGUAAGAACUCUACAGAAUGAAACAGGUGCUUCUAUCAUGUUUGCAGCUCCAAUAACUCUGUCUGGUGCACGUGUAGUCACCAUUUCUGCAUUUGAGAACCUUGAAUCAUCGUACUCUCCUGCACAAAAAGCUGUUAUUCUUGUCUUUGCUAGAUCUAUUGAGCAUGACAUUGAAAAGGGGCAUUCAUCAGGCUUGAUUAAGGGUAGUACUGUAACUGCAAGGCUCCUAGUGGCAUCGGAUGUUGUUUGUUGCCUGAUUGGGAAUGGUGGUGGGAUAGAUUCUGAAAUGACAGAAUUAGCUGAUAUACGGAUCUUAGAAGGGAAACAUGUCAUGGAUUGUACUUCAGAAAAUGAUGUAGUAAUAGAGAUCACUGGUGAGUAUAAAAAUGUACAGAAUGCUCUGUUUCUAGUUACUAGGAAACUGAGGGAUAAUCUUUCUCGUACUGAGCUGCUCAAUGAAGUGAGAACAAGGAGUCCCCAUGGAAGAGUAAUGGAGAUUGCUUCUCCUAGAUUGCAGCAACCAAGCCUAUCUCUUAAUUCUGAUCGAGAAUGUAGUUUGAAAGGAGGAAUGGAUCAGCUUGGACUCUCCAACAACUUGGGCAAUGCCUCUUCGUCGGGACAGCGGUCACCACAGGUAGCAGGAUUUCUUCCUUAUUUUGCAGUUUUUAUGUUUAGUUCCGACUGAGGGCCUUCUUGUUUUGUGUGAUUGCAGAAAUUUGGAAAAAGGCAUGCAACAACUGUUAAAAAUAAUGGAAACAGCUCAACUUUGUCUGGUGGGUCUUCAGAACUUGAAAGGUCACUUCACUUGUUUCUGCCCAAAGAGGUGCUUAAAGAGGUAGGUGCAAGGAGUCCUGGUGGAGUGAGAGAGACUACUUGUCAUGAAUCACAUUCACCAUCAGACCUAGCUUCUGAUCUCAUUCAAGAAACUAUUUUAACAAAAGAAAAAAAUCAACCUGGACUCUCCAACAUUGGCAGUCGUUCAUCUGCAUUGCAUAUGCAACAGACUGCAGGAAGGGGCUCAACAACUUUUGGAGGGAGUGUAGAACUUGACAGGUCAGCACCGCACAACACAACACAAAUUAUUCAACCUUGAUUUUCCUUUUAUCGUUUCUUUCUAUAUUCCCUGUCUUAUCCUUUGCUGCAUGGUGGAACUAUUCAUGAUCACACUCUACUUUUGGAUUUAUUGUUGAACAUUUAUUGACAAUUAUUAUGUAGUCAAAGGAUACUUUGUUUACAGUGUCUUGGAUAUGUUUUGAAAAUGGCCAUAAUAUUAGGGUGGAGGAACUAAAUAUAGAAUUUAAGUUAACUAUUUUCAAUAUAUUUAUUAAAUACAUCUCCGUUUUCUUAUAAUGGCAAUGGAAGUGAACAAAAUGUAUGAAUUUCAAAUUUAAUAACAUAUUUAAGUGGUUGGUAUAAAAGAGAUUAAUAAAAUUAUCCACUGUAUUAGUAGUAUACAAUUUUGUUUGCAUUCAUAGUAACAAAUGCAUAAUUAAGUAAAAACAUUUGGCAUAAACAUACUGUAUGUAUUUUUGUAUGACCCUUGUGGAAGUGUAGCUUGGUUAUUGUUGAUAAAUAACUAUUAUUAUUAAUAAUUUUGGUAAGAUCAGCACUGGUGAGCUUGAAAAUGUUAAUGCCAAAGUUUUUAGGCUGUUCAUAAUAUUUUAUUACUUUUUACAUUUUACUUUAGAAUUUUAUUCUUGUUUUGGUAAAUUUACUGUUGUCAUGUCAAUAUAUUUAUAAUAGUUUAGCGCUAGUAACAGGUCGCUUUUUCUUAAUUUUUAAUUGAAAUUACUAGUAUCUUUUUAAAAAUUUACAAGUACUCUGUGUUAGUUUUAAAUAACAGAUUUUCUUUUGGUUGCAUUUCUUGCAUUUACGUACUCAUUCUGCACAGCAUAGAUGAGAUAACUAGUAUUUAAUGACAAAUUUAUUAGAUUGGAAGAUAUAAAGUUAACAGCUAAUAUAAUGGAACAAAACAAAAUUAUUUAUUAUUAAAAAGUUGCUGAAAGUUACAAAUAAAUUCUUUUUAUAUAUAAAUUUGGCUGAAUUCUAGAAACAAAGACCUUAAUGUGUCUGCUUUUAUUGUUUGUGGAUAGGCAUCAGUGAUCAGACAGGUUACUUCACAUGUCAUCCUUGUGUGAUGAUCUGUGGUAAAGUUUUAUUUUUUUGCUCCAAUUGAAUUACCUAUAUAGCCAAUGAUAAUGAGUCUUGUCUGUAAUGGUCUAAGUGAUCAUAUUGUAGUAGGAUGAGUCUUGACAAAGGCUUUAAAAAAUCAUUGCUCUUUCAAUCAGGGAGCCAAGGAAUUCACUUACCAAGAACCUUUGCUUUGUUAAUAACAUUGCUUGUUCUGGUAUUGGCACUAAAUGGCAUUUGGUAAUGGUUCUUAACACAUGUUCGUAAGGCAUCACUAUAUUGUCCUAGAUCCGGCAGCUUGUCAUUGCCUGCUACAUCUUGAAAAAGAAAAUAAAAUGUUGCUUACCCCAUCUUUUUUCAUCAUCUAAUGUCUAUAGAUGUAAAAUUUCUUAGAAUGGAUUUCGCAUGCAUGUAACCACUCUUCGUGCUUACAGUAGUUUGCGCCGUCGAAAAAGAUCUGCUAUAGUGGCAAAUACAACCUUGGAGCUGAUAGUCUCUGAAGAUAUUCUUGGUUCUAUUUAUGGUGAUGAUGGCAACAAUCUGGCUAGAUUAAGA
rnacentral:misc_RNA from 1 species